AUUGAACGCUGGCGGCAUGCCUUACACAUGCAAGUCGAACGGCAGCACGGGAGCAAUCCUGGUGGCGAGUGGCGAACGGGUGAGUAAUAUAUCGGAACGUGCCCGGUCGUGGGGAUAACGUAGCGAAAGCUACGCUAAUACCGCAUACGAUCUACGGAUGAAAGCGGGGGAUCGCAAGACCUCGCGCGAUUGGAGCGGCCGAUAUCAGAUUAGGUAGUUGGUGAGGUAAAGGCUCACCAAGCCGACGAUCUGUAGCUGGUCUGAGAGGACGACCAGCCACACUGGGACUGAGACACGGCCCAGACUCCUACGGGAGGCAGCAGUGGGAAUUUGGACAAUGGGCGCAAGCCUGAUCCAGCAAUGCCGCGUGCAGGAUGAAGGCCUCGGUGUAA
rnacentral:rRNA from 1 species